rnacentral:rRNA from 1 species
UACGUAGGGGGCAAGCGUUGUCCGGAAUCAUUGGGCGUAAAGAGCGUGUAGGCGGUCCGGUAAGUCGGCUGUGAAAGUCCAGGGCUCAACCCUGGGAUGCCGGUCGAUACUGCCGGACUAGAGUUCGGAAGAGGCGUGUGGAAUUCCGGGUGUAGUGGUGAAAUGCGUAGAGAUCCGGAGGAACACCAGUGGCGAAGGCGACACGCUGGGCCAUACCUGACGCUAAAGCGCGACAGCAUGGGGAGCAAACGGG